GCUAGUGGUCAAGGUAUGGAUAUAGAGCAUACUGGUCAUUCAGUACUAUCUACUCCCUCCGGUUCCUUGCACUUGAACAAUAUUCUCCAUGCUCCUAGUGCCGAUCAAAGCCUCCUUUCUGCCUAUAAUCUUAUGCGUGAUAAUGAUGCCUUUAUUGAGCUUCACCCUGAAUUCUUUCUUGUUAAGGAUCAGGCUACCCGGAGAACAAUUCUGCAAAACAAGAGUAGAUGGGGUUUGUUCCCCGUGACCGGACGGCAAAGUGCCCCUCAACGUCAAGUCCUUGCGGCCAUCAAGCCA
rnacentral:rRNA from 1 species